ACCGAAAUAGCCCAGUUGGGAGGGCGUUAGACUAUAGAUCGAAAGGUCCCUGGUUCGAUCCCGGGAUGUGGCA
rnacentral:tRNA from 1 species